rnacentral:tRNA from 1 species
GGCGUGGUAGUAUAGCGGUUCUCACACUCCCGAGUUAGAGCGAAGACCCAGGUUCGACUCCUGGCCCGCAA